GACUCUGAUGAUGAAUUUUGACCAGAAGGCUGUGAAAUUCCUGGCAAAUUUUUACAUCAAUGGAGGCAAACACUGGACCCAUGGGCCCCUGAGGCCGAUGCCGCCAGAGCCCAUCCAGCCCAAGGCAUCCGUGCUAUUGUUGGGCCUGGAGCCAGGGCUGGCCUGGGAUGAGACACAGCCCCCAAAAAUGAAGGAGUGCCCAGCUGGCCUCGGGUUACAGAUGGGAGCCCCCGAGAAGUCCCUGCCCAUCCGCACCCAGACCCUGAGGGAGCUGCUGCUGGAGCAACGUCCCCCGAUCACAGCUGACCUGGACGUCCCCAGCCCCGCCAAGUACCAGCUGCCAAGCCCGUCUGUGCGAGAGUCCUCCCCACACCCCCACUACAGCAUUGGCCGCAAACACCAGGGCCAAGAGGGCGGUGGGUGCAGGGUAUGGCAGACAGUGUGGUUCCAGAGUGAAAGCCCCUUCACACAGAAGGCCAACUUCAACCAAAAGCAAAAGUGGCCCUCACCAGCCAACUACCAGCCGCUCGGCCCGCCUUCAGCUUCAGGGGCCACCACCCUGCCACCAAGACACCUGAGGGCCACACCCACCCCAGGCUGCCUCGGGCCAGGGGGUUUGGUCUCCAGGAGCAGCCCCAGUGCCUGCUCCAGGCCUCUUUGCAGGCACCUGGCAAGAGGCACCCUGGCCCCAACACCUACAACAUUCUUCCUGGGAGCUGCCUGCAGAGCCCACGCCCGCCAGCCUUCUCCAUGGGCCACUCCCCGGUGUUCCCCACCUGGCUCAGUGGCUCCCAAACCCCCGGCCUGGCUGCCUACCACGUGGAGGACUGCUACAACUCUCGCUUCCCCUCGGCACCUGGCGUGUGCAGACCCAAGAGACACGACGCUGGCCCCUUCUGCACACUCUAGAGCCCACUGGGCAAAGCCAG